rnacentral:rRNA from 1 species
UACGGAGGGGGCGAGCGUUAUUCGGAAUUAUUGGGCGUAAAGGGCGCGUAGGCGGCUGAACAAGUCAAAGGUGAAAUCCCUCGGCUCAACUGAGGAACUGCCUUUGAAACUGUUCGGCUUGAGGCCGGGAGGGGGUAGCGGAAUUCCCAGUGUAGCGGUGAAAUGCGCAGAUAUCAGGAAGAACACCCGUGGCGAAAGCGGCUCUCUGGAACGGUACUGACGCUGAGACGCGAAAGCGUGGGGAGCGAACAGG